GACGAACGCUGGCGGCGUGCCUAAUACAUGCAAGUCGAACGCAGUGGGGACGGGUGAGUAACACGUGGGUAACCUCCCAUCAGAGGGGAUAACACUUGGAAACAGGUGCUAAACCGAUACUGAUGGAUGAACCCGCGGUGCAUUAGCUAGUUGGUGAGGGAACGGCUCACCAAGGGCACGAUGCAUAGACGACCGGAGAGGGUGAUCGGCCACACUGGGACGUGGCCAGGGACAAGACUCCGACGGGAGGCAGCAGUAGGGAAUCUUCGGCAAUGGACGAAAGUCUGACCGAGCAACGCGGCGUGAGUGAAGAAGGUUUUCGGAUCGUAAAACUCUGUUGUUAGAGAAGCGGUAUCUAACCAGAAAGCAACGGCUAACUACGUGCCAGCCGCCGCGGUAAUUC
rnacentral:rRNA from 1 species